rnacentral:rRNA from 1 species
CUUGCCGGACGAGCUGAGAGGAGGUGCAUGGCCGUCGUCAGCUCGUGCCGUGAGGUGUCUGGUUAAGUCCAGCAACGAGCGAGACCCCCACCCCCAGUUGCUACCCCGCCCCACGGGGCGGGGGGCACACUGGGGGGACUGCCGGCGUAAGCCGGAGGAAGGAGGGGGCCACGGCAGGUCAGUAUGCCCCGAAACCCCGGGGCUGCACGCGAGCUGCAAUGGCGGGGACAGCGGGAGCCGACCCCGAAAGGGGGAGGCAAUCCCGUAAACCCCGCCCCAGUAGGGAUCGAGGGCUGCAACUCGCCCUCGUGAACGUGGAAUCCCUAGUAACCGCGUGUCACCAACGCGCGGUGAAUACGUCCCUGCCCCU